rnacentral:rRNA from 1 species
CCUACGGGUGGCAGCAGUGGGGAAUAUUGCACAAUGGGGGAAACCCUGAUGCAGCGACGCCGCGUGAGUGAAGAAGUAUUUCGGUAUGUAAAGCUCUAUCAGCAGGAACGAGACAAGACGGUACCUGACUAAGAAGCCCCGGCUAACUACGUGCCAGCAGCCGCGGUAAUACGUAGGGGGCAAGCGUUAUCCGGAAUCACUGGGUGUAAAGGGAGCGUAGACGGCUGUGCAAGCCCGAAGUGAAAGGCCGGGGCCCAACCCCUGGACUGCUUUGGGAACUGUACGGCUGGAGUGCAGGAGAGGUAAGUGGAAUUCCUAGUGUAGCGGUGAAAUGCGUAGAUAUUAGGAGGAACACCAGUGGCGAAGGCGGCUUACUGGACUGUAACUGACGUUGAGGCUCGAAAGCGUGGGGAGCAAACAGGAUUAGAUACCCGAGAAGUC